GCAUGGGCGAAGCCUGAGGACAACACCGCGUGAAGGAUGAAGUGGUUCGCCAUGUAAUCUUCUUUUCUGAGGGAAGAGUUCUGACGGUACCUUAGGAAUAAGCACCGGCUAACUCUGUGCCAGCAGCCGCGGUAAGACAGAGGGUGCAAGCGUUAUCCGGAAUCACUGGGCGUAAAGCGUCUGUAGGCGAAACAGUAAGUCGGGGGUAAAAUCUCCAAGCUCAACUUGGAAUGCGUUCCCGAAACUACUGUUUUUGAAGAACGGAGAGGCAAGUGGAAUUCUGUGUGUAGGGGUAAAAUCCGUAGAUACACGGAGGAACACGAAGGGGGAAAGCAGCUUGCCAGCCGUCUCUUGACGCUGAGAGACGAAAG
rnacentral:rRNA from 1 species